ACCCGUCCCUGCUCCUGACCAUCACCGUCAUUGGGGUCACUGUGCUCGUGAUGGUCCUGAAGAGCAUGAACUCCAGGAGGAGAGAGCCAAUCACCUUACAGGACCCUGAAGCCAAGUACCCGCUGCCCUUGAUUGAGAAAGAGAAAAUCAGCCACAACACCCGGAGGUUCCGCUUUGGACUGCCUUCGCCGGACCAUGUCUUAGGGCUUCCUGUAGGUAACUAUGUCCAGCUCUUGGCGAAAAUUGGCAAUGAAUUGGUGGUCAGGGCUUACACCCCUGUCUCCAGUGAUGAUGACAGAGGCUUUGUGGACCUAAUUAUAAAGAUCUACUUCAAAAAUGUACACCCCCAAUAUCCUGAAGGUGGGAAGAUGACUCAGUAUUUGGAGAACAUGAAAAUCGGGGAGACCAUCUUUUUUCGAGGGCCAAAGGGACGCUUGUUUUACCAUGGGCCAGGGAAUCUUGGAAUCAGACCAGACCAGACGAGUGAGCCUAAAAAAAAACUGGCCGAUCACCUGGGAAUGAUUGCUGGGGGCACAGGCAUCACACCCAUGUUGCAGCUCAUUCGCCACAUCACCAAGGACCCCAGUGACAUGACCAGGAUGUCCCUCAUCUUUGCCAACCAGGUCAGUUCCUGCUGAGCUUGCAGUGGUAGGAUGGAAUGUUUGCUGAGCUGGGCUCUUGUUUUCAUUUCUCCUGCAUUGACUGAGCUCAUGCUGCUUAGGUGCCUGCGUCUGUGGGAGGGCUUAGUGGGAUCAACAGGGCUGCUGGCAGCUGGAGAAGCUGAGUCCAGGCCUGCUUUUUGCAUGUA
rnacentral:sRNA from 1 species